CUAAAGGAUUUUCUAGGGCUUUAUUUUUCUUAAGGCAAAAAUCCACUAAUUUCUUUAAAAAAAAUUUCU
rfam:Tyto alba contig123437, whole genome shotgun sequence.